AAUUCGAAGCAACGCGAAGAACCUUACCAGGUCUUGACAUCCCCUGACAACCGAGAGAUCGGGCGUUCCCCUUCGGGGGACAGGGUGACAGGUGGUGCAUGGUUGUCGUCAGCUCGUGUCGUGAGAUGUUGGGUUAAGUCCCGCAACGAGCGCAACCCUCGACCUUAGUUGCCAGCAUUCAGUUGGGCACUCUAAGGUGACUGCCGGCUAAAAGUCGGAGGAAGGUGGGAUGACGUCAAAUCAUCAUGCCCCUUAUGACCUGGGCUACACACGUGCUACAAUGGGCGGUACAAAGGGAAGCAAGGCCGCAAGGUAGAGCUAAUCCCUAAAGUCGUCCUCAGUUCGGAUUGCAGGCUGCAACUCGCCUGCAUGAAGUCGGAAUCGCUAGUAAUCGCAGAUCAGCAUGCUGCGGUGAAUACGUUCCCGGGUCUU
rnacentral:rRNA from 1 species